rnacentral:rRNA from 1 species
UACGUAGGGAGCAAGCGUUGUUCGGAUUUACUGGGCGUAAAGGGCGCGUAGGCGGCAAAUUAAGUCAGCUGUGAAAUCUCCGAGCUUAACUCGGAACGGUCAGCUGAUACUGCUUUGCUAGAGUGCAGAAAGGGCAAUCGGAAUUCUUGGUGUAGCGGUGAAAUGCGCAGAUAUCAGGAGGAACACCGGUGGCGAAGGCGGAUCUCUGGGCCUUACCUGACGCUCAGGCGCGAAAGCUAGGGGAGCGAACAGG